rnacentral:rRNA from 1 species
CCAUGCAGCUGAGCGGUAGAGACUCUUCGGGGUCUUGAGAGCGGCGUACGGGUGCGGAACACGUGUGCAACCUGCCUUUAUCAGGGGGAUAGCCUUUCGAAAGGAAGAUUAAUACCCCAUAAUAUUUUGGAUGGCAUCAUUUAAAAUUGAAAACUGAGGUGGAUAAAGAUGGGCACGCGCAAGAUUAGAUAGUUGGUGAGGUAACGGCUCACCAAGUCGAUGAUCUUUAGGGGGCCUGAGAGGGUGAUCCCCCACACUGGUACUGAGACACGGACCAGACUCCUACGGGAGGCAGCAGUGAGGAAUAUUGGACAAUGGGUUAGCGCCUGAUCCAGCCAUCCCGCGUGAAGGACGACGGCCCUAUGGGUUGUAAACUUCUUUUGUACAGGGAUAAACCUAUCUACGUGUAGAUAGCUGAAGGUACUGUACGAAUAAGCACCGGCUAACUCCGUGCCAGCAGCCGCGGUAAUACGGAGGGUGCAAGCGUUAUCCGGAUUUAUUGGGUUUAAAGGGUCCGUAGGCGGAUGUGUAAGUCAGUGGUGAAAUCUCACAGCUCAACUGUGAAACUGCCAUUGAUACUGCAUGUCUUGAGUAAGGUAGAAGUGGCUGGAAUAAGUAGUGUAGCGGUGAAAUGCAUAGAUA